rnacentral:lncRNA from 1 species
AUGAACUGGAAUGAAGGGAAACCCGCCCUGCCAGUGAGUCCUGGGCACCCAACUGGCCGCCUUAAAUAUCACUUAAGAGUCUUCACAGCCCCUGCUCACGCUCCCCACUCAGUGUGGCCCUUGAGGCCUGGUCUGAAUCCUUGGCCCUGCCCAUCCAUACCCCUGGCCUUGACUGAUUGGUCCAGGAAUGCCUGCAUGCUCCAAGCCACCCAAUCAGAUCCUUUGAGAAUUGUGGACCUGCCUGUCAACCCACUCAGGAUGAUCUCUGACCUAAGAACAGGGUAGGAUGACUCAACUGACCGCUACCUCCACCCCAGCUGUGGACCACCUGGUCAAAUAAUCAUAAACUACAGACAUCUUGACUUCUGAAACUACAAUUAAUUAAGAAAUGCUACAGAACCAUCACUGAAAGUGAAAGUCGCUCAGUCAUGUCCGGCUCUUUGCUAUCUCAUGGACUAUACAGUCUAUGGAAUUCUCCAGGCUAGAAUAGUGGAGUGGGUAGCCUUUCCCUUCUACAGAGGAUCGUCCCAACCCAGAAAUCCAACCCAGAUCUCCCACAUUGGAGGUGGAUUCUUUACCAGCUGAACCACAAAGAACCUUCACUAGGCAAUGAUUAAUCCCAGCCUCUUUGUUCUUCUGCUUUAAAAAGAAUCCCUAACUCAAAGACCAUGUUGGGGUGGAUUUGAGUCUUGUCUCUCCCUCCUUCUUGAUGCCCUGAAAUAAACCCUUACUUUGCUGCAAACUUCUCUGUCAGAGUUUGUCUUUCUGCAUUGCUGACACACAAGCCCUUUGCUCAGUUUCAGAAAUGUGCUUUGCAAAGGACUUUAUUAAACUUGGGCUGUCCAAGGGUGUGCCAGCAAAUAUUUGACAACUGGUUCUUCAGAAAUCCAAAUGUAUACAUUAUAUACAUAUACACAUGUUCAUGUUUGUUAUAAAUUUUACUGAUGAAAUGGAUGUGCAGAACACAAUGUGCAAAUCACGCAAUGGAGGAACUCUUGAUUGUAAAUUCCAUGUAGUCAAUGGAUUCUCUAGGUUUUCAUUUUUGCUGAACUCCUGUAUGUCUAGUUAAUCUGUGGUUGUAAUUCAACCGCCGUUUGAAAUGGUGUUGUUUUUUAGUCUGCUGGGCUAACUCUCCUCCCAAUAAAUUUAUUGUCAUUAAAUCUGAUAUGUGAUCUACUGUUACACUACUCUCUCUCAGUUCAGUUCAGUUCAGUUGCUCAGUUGUGUCUGACUCUUUGCGAC